rnacentral:rRNA from 1 species
UGGGGAAUAAGCACCGGCUAACUCCGUGCCAGCAGCCGCGGUAAUACGGAGGGUGCAAGCGUUACUCGGAAUCACUGGGCGUAAAGAGCGCGUAGGCGGGAGAGUAAGUCAGAUGUGAAAUCCUGUAGCUUAACUACAGAACUGCAUUUGAAACUACUUUUCUAGAGUAUGGGAGAGGUAGGUGGAAUUCUUGGUGUAGGGGUAAAAUCCGUAGAGAUCAAGAGGAAUACUCAUUGCGAAGGCGACCUGCUGGAACAUUACUGACGCUGAUGCGCGAAAGCGUGGGGAGCAAACAGG